GUGAAAAUGGUCACUCUUGUGCAAUACAUGACCAAACCUGAUGACUCCCAACUCCCCGACCAAAGUACUGCAGCAGUCAAUAACAUAUCCACAAGAGUUAAAUGGGGCACUUUCUAUAUGAGAGUUCAACCUUUCUGUCUUGAGAAAUUCACACCUUUCAGAUUCCCAACUUUAUGAUAUUGUUCAGAAUUUGGUUGGAGAAAAUUAGAAGAUUGGGGCAAAUGCUGUUCGGUCCAGGCUUGCAGCCAUAAAUAUUCGAGUGCCGCGAAGGAGACUUGGACUGUAUGAACCCAAGGACACUGAGACUGACAGACCCAGUUCCUGCUGCCAUGAAGCUCAUCACACCAUGAUCUACUGGCCUCCCAUCAUCGUGAUGCCCUGCCAAUGUCUGACCAGCGACCACCCGCUGCUUCCCUUUAUUUCUAAAUUUUUUAAUUCUUAAUAAAUCGUAUAGUAUAGUUUUUUAUUGGAUCGCGUAAUUCUGCCUAGUGACAACCAACCACUUACUUUAACUUUUAAUUUAAAUGAUUUAAACCUUUAACAAUAAUUCCCAUACAUUUUAAGAAUAUAGAAGGCCUAUUCAAUAUAUAGUAUAUAUUUUCUAGGAUCAGCUAGGUCUGGGUCUCUCUCAAGGGUUUUCUUUCUCCCAGUGACUUUUUCCCCUAUAAGGGUUUUUUUCCUAGGAGUUUUUUAAACCCCUUGGGGUCGGCUGACAUUAGCUUAACUUAAAGAGUUACAUUACAUUAUUACUCCGCUCACUAGUACGGCUUAAUCUGAGCCGCUGUACUUUGUUGUCCUAUAAUUUUUCUCUUGUUUUUAUUAAACAAGUAACCCAACUGGAGCUGCACGUAGAGCGUUGGCCCAAAGACUGCACCAAAGAACCUACCGUGUUGCAGGUCCCAACUCAUUGUGGCACAGU